rnacentral:rRNA from 1 species
AAAUUGAAGAGUUUGAUCAUGGCUCAGAUUGAACGCUGGCGGCAGGCCUAACACAUGCAAGUCGAACGGUAACAGGAAGAAGCUUGCUUCUUUGCUGACGAGUGGCGGACGGGUGAGUAAUGUCUGGGAAACUGCCUGAUGGAGGGGGAUAACUACUGGAAACGGUAGCUAAUACCGCAUAACGUCGCAAGACCAAAGAGGGGGACCUUCAGGCCUCUUGCCAUCGGAUGUGCCCAGAUGGGAUUAGCUAGUAGGUGGGGUAACGGCUCACCUAGGCGACGAUCCCUAGCUGGUCUGAGAGGAUGACCAGCCACACUGGAACUGAGACACGGUCCAGACUCCUACGGGAGGCAGCAGUGGGGAAUAUUGCACAAUGGGCGCAAGCCUGAUGCAGCCAUGCCGCGUGUAUGAAGAAGGCCUUCGGGUUGUAAAGUACUUUCAGCGGGGAGGAAGGGAGUAAAGUUAAUACCUUU